AUGGGCGCAAGCCUGAUCCAGCAAUGCCGCGUGCAGGAUGAAGGCCUUCGGGUUGUAAACUGCUUUUGUACGGAACGAAAAGCCCUGGGUUAAUACCCUGGGGUCAUGACGGUACCGUAAGAAUAAGCACCGGCUAACUACGUGCCAGCAGCCGCGGUAAUACGUAGGGUGCGAGCGUUAAUCGGAAUUACUGGGCGUAAAGCGUGCGCAGGCGGUUUUGUAAGACAGAGGUGAAAUCCCCGGGCUCAACCUGGGAACUGCCUUUGUGACUGCAAGGCUAGAGUACGGCAGAGGGGGAUGGAAUUCCGCGUGUAGCAGUGAAAUGCGUAGAUAUGCGGAGGAACACCGAUGGCGAAGGCAAUCCCCUGGGCCUGUACUGACGCUCAUGCACGAAAGCGUGGGGAGCAAACAGGAUUAGAUACCCUGGUAGUCCACGCCCUAAACGAUGUCAACUGGUUGUUGGGUCUUAACUGACUCAGUAACGAAGCUAACGCGUGAAGUUGACCGCCUGGGGAGUA
rnacentral:rRNA from 1 species